rnacentral:rRNA from 1 species
GACAGAGGGUGCAAACGUUGCUCGGAAUUACUGGGCGUAAAGCGCGUGUAGGCGGUUUCGCAAGUCAGGUGUGAAAGCCCAAGGCUCAACCUUGGAAGUGCACUUGAUACUACGGAGCUUGAGUACUGAAGAGGAGAGCGGAAUUCCCGGUGUAGAGGUGAAAUGCGCAGAUAUCAGGAGGAACACCGGUGGCGAAGGCGGGUCUCUGGGCCGGUACCGACGCUGAGGAGCGAAAGCGUGGGGAGCGAACAGG